AACGAACGCUGGCGGCAUGCCUAACACAUGCAAGUCGAACGAGACCCCUGACUUCGGUUGGCGGGUCUAGUGGCGCACGGGUGCGUAACGCGUGGGAAUCUGCCCUUGGGUUCGGAAUAACUCAGAGAAAUUUGAGCUAAUACCGGAUGAUGACGAAAGUCCAAAGAUUUAUCGCCCAGGGAUGAGCCCGCGUAAGAUUAGCUUGUUGGUGGGGUAAUGGCCUACCAAGGCGACGAUCUUUAGCUGGUCUGAGAGGAUGAUCAGCCACACUGGAACUGAGACACGGUCCAGACUCCUACGGGAGGCAGCAGUGAGGAAUAUUGCGCAAUGGGGGCAACCCUGACGCAGCAACGCCGCGUGAGUGAGGAAGGUUUUCGGACCGUAAAGCUCUGUCGAGCGGGAAGAAAUGCAUGGUGGCUAAUAUCCAUGAUACUUGACGGUACCGCUAAAGGAAGCACCGGCUAACUCCGUGCCAGCAGCCGCGGUAAA
rnacentral:rRNA from 1 species